rnacentral:rRNA from 1 species
AUUGAACGCUGGCGGCAGGCCUAACACAUGCAAGUCGAACGGUAGCACAGAGAGCUUGCUCUCGGGUGACGAGUGGCGGACGGGUGAGUAACGUCUGGGAAACUGCCCGAUGGAGGGGGAUAACUACUGGAAACGGUAGCUAAUACCGCAUAACGUCGCAAGACCAAAGUGGGGGACCUUCGGGCCUCACACCAUCGGAUGUGCCCAGAUGGGAUUAGCUAGUAGGUGGGGUAAUGGCUCACCUAGGCGACGAUCCCUAGCUGGUCUGAGAGGAUGACCAGCCACACUGGAACUGAGACACGGUCCAGACUCCUACGGGAGGCAGCAGUGGGGGAUAUUGCACAAUGGGCGCAAGCCUGAUGCAGCCAUGCCGCGUGUAUGAAGAAGGCCUUCGAGUUGUAAAGUACUUUCAGCGGGGAGGAAGGCGGUGGAGUUAAUAACUUCACCGAUUGACGUUACCCGCAGAAGAAGCACCGGCUAACUCCGUGCCAGCAGCCGCCGUAA